rnacentral:rRNA from 1 species
GGAUCAAUACGUCGGUCGUGCUUCGGUACGUACUGGCGUAAUUGGUUUCUCCCUUCUGACGAACCAUGAUGUCAUUAACUUGGUGUCAUGGGAAAUCAGGACUGUUACUUUGAAAAUUAGAGUGUUUAAAGCAAGCGCUAGCUUGAAUACAUUAGCAUGGAAUAAUGAAAUAGGACGUUUGACCCUAUUUUGUUGGUUUCUAGGAUCGACGUAAUGAUUAAU